AACGAACGCUGGCGGCAGGCUUAACACAUGCAAGUCGAACGCCCCGCAAGGGGAGUGGCAGACGGGUGAGUAACGCGUGGGAAUCUACCCAGUUCUACGGAACAACACAGGGAAACUUGUGCUAAUACCGUAUACGCCCUACGGGGGAAAGAUUUAUCGGAAUUGGAUGAGCCCGCGUUGGAUUAGCUAGUUGGUGGGGUAAUGGCCUACCAAGGCGACGAUCCAUAGCUGGUCUGAGAGGAUGAUCAGCCACACCGGGACUGAGACACGGCCCAGACUCCUACGGGAGGCAGCAGUGGGGAAUAUUGGACAAUGGGCGCAAGCCUGAUCCAGCCAUGCCGCGUGAGUGAUGAAGGCCUUAGGGUAGUAAAGCUCUUUCAGUGGGGACGAUAAUGACGGUACCCACAGAAGAAGCCCCGGCUAACUUCGUGCCAGCCGCCGCCGUAACAC
rnacentral:rRNA from 1 species